rnacentral:rRNA from 1 species
CCUACGGGUGGCAGCAGUGGGGAAUAUUGGACAAUGGGCGAAAGCCUGAUCCAGCCAUGCCGCGUGUGUGAAGAAGGCCUUCGGGUUGUAAAGCACUUUCAGUGGGGAAGAAAGCCUUGGGGCUAAUACCCUCGAGGAAGGACAUCACCCACAGAAGAAGCACCGGCUAACUCCGUGCCAGCAGCCGCGGUAAUACGGAGGGUGCGAGCGUUAAUCGGAAUUACUGGGCGUAAAGCGCGCGUAGGCGGUCUGAUAAGCCGGUUGUGAAAGCCCCGGGCUCAACCUGGGAACGGCAUCCGGAACUGUCAGGCUAGAGUGCAGGAGAGGAGGGUAGAAUUCCCGGUGUAGCGGUGAAAUGCGUAGAGAUCGGGAGGAAUACCAGUGGCGAAGGCGGCCUUCUGGACUGACACUGACGCUGAGGUGCGAAAGCGUGGGUAGCAAACAGGAUUAGAUACCCGUGUAGUC